rnacentral:rRNA from 1 species
GACAGAGGGUGCAAACGUUGCUCGGAAUCACUGGGCGUAAAGGGCGUGUAGGCGGGAAGGAAAGUCAGAUGUGAAAUCCCUGGGCUCAACCCAGGAACUGCAUUUGAAACUCCCUUUCUUGAGUACCGGAGAGGAAGGUGGAAUUCCUGGUGUAGAGGUGAAAUUCGUAGAUAUCAGGAGGAACACCGGUGGCGAAGGCGGCCUUCUGGACGGUAACUGACGCUGGAGACGCGAAAGCGUGGGGAGCAAACAGG